CUUCUGUAAUGUUCAUAGUGUUCUGAACAAAUAGUAAUUAAAGUGCUGGUGAUGAGGAAGCUACAUAACAAAGGAGAUUUCCUUUGCUGCCUUUUGCAAACACUCACGAAGACAGACGAUGCAUUUAUGAUGUAAAACAUAUUCUCUGCACAUGUAUGGGCAGACAGAAUAAAGCAUAUUUAACAUCAGUUCAUCUAGAUGAAGAAGGAACUAGAGAAAUAC